GAACGCUGGCGGCAUGCCUUACACAUGCAAGUCGAACGGCAGCAUGGAGGAGCAUGCUCCUCUGAUGGCGAGUGGCGAACGGGUGAGUAAAGCAUCGGAACGUGCCGUGUAGUGGGGGAUAACGUAGCGAAAGUUACGCUAAUACCGCAUACGCACCGAGGUGGAAAGCAGGGGAUCGCAAGACCUUGCGCUAUACGAGCGGCCGAUGUCAGAUUAGCUAGUUUUUCGCGUAAAGGCCUAGCAAAGCGACGAUCUGUAGCGGGUCUGAGAGGAUGAUCCGCCACUCCUGCANUGAGACAGGAUCCAGACUCCUNCGGG
rnacentral:rRNA from 1 species